CCCAUUUUACAUUUCUGAUAAGCGUAAUUCUGUCGCGCUGUGCCGCCCAAAGCCCCAGAGAGAGCCCCUUCUUCGGGAAAGGAAAGAAAGGUGAGCCUCCUCCAAGAGGCGGAAGAGCCCUGCCUGGAAACCAUGGUAAAAGGGAUAGAGGGGACCCAGGCAGCGCUGAAAAUGCUAAGGGGCUCUGGAGCAUGCCGCGACUUUUCCCGGAGAGCCAGUCCUUUGGGUCCAGACACCUCCGGGCUUCUUGGAGAGGAAAUGCUUAUGCAUUCUCCAGCGCCAGCUAACCAGGGCUCCGCACCCGUGGCCCAGUCCUCCCGCAAAGCACCGCAAAGCUGGGGGCGCAUCCUGGAGAAUGGAAAUCUGGGGUUUCCCCAGCCUGGGAGAUAGAAUGCUCAGUCUCCCUCCCCACCCCCGACUGAAGUGUCAAGUUUCCUCCAGGGGAGGGGGUGAGCUACAAGGUCUGCUUUCCCGCGCGGCCCAAGCUGCAAAUUCUACUUUGCUCCACCGCGGCCAAAGCCGCGCGCGCGCGCGCACACACACACACGCGCGUAACACGUUCACCCUCAAAGCACAUUUACACACUCACACUCGUGCACAGACACACAGGUUCCGACGUGCUUUUGAGUCGGUGACCCAGAUCUCUGCUGGCUGCGCGCACUUUUGGAGCUUCGCUACGGGCGGGGCGCGUGGGGCGGGGCACCGGCAGAGGAGAAAUUGAUAACAGAUUCGGCGGAUUACAGUGGAUCUCUUUGUUAGAGCCGAAACCCCACAAACCGAACCUAUUUGUGGCCUGACGCCCCGGGACGAGUCCACCAGUUCCCAGAACCGGGGCCAGCUAGGAGUGGAGCCAUCCGGUCUCCAGACUCGGGUCUCUCUAGCUCCAGGGUAAGGUAGGCUGGGGUGUCCCAACCGGGAUCGAACAGGAGAGCCCCAGCGAGUAGCGCCUCCACUUAACCCCGCGCUCUUGCCCGGAAACACCUUGGCCUUCUUCCCGCUCCAAUUGCAUCACAACCCAGAAAAGGCCCCACAAGUUUGAAAGAUUCGAGGAACCCACAGCGAACUCACUAAUAAAUACAUCCACUCUGUAGGGUAAAACAUCCCCAUCUAUUUACCAAAAGAUCUGAUCCGAAAAGACAGUACGAAAUGAGACUUCUCAGGAGACUGUCACACCAGGGAUAAACAAAAGUUCUGGUCAGAAGAAUGAGCUAAAUGUUUUCCAACAGAGGCCCAAGGAAGCCGACACUAUAAGGACCCUGGGAAGCUGUUCCUCCUAUGCACCCAGAGGAGGGUUGGGGGCAUUUGCCAGGUUCAGCGCAAGGGUGGGGUAAGGUGAAGGGAGGGCGUUCCUUCCAAUCCAGAGUAGCUCUAUCUAUGUCAUGGCUCCCGCAUUAAGUCUCUCCCCCAAAGUUUCCUCGUUAGAUCAAAGGUGUCAACUGUGGGGGAUGUUGAAGGGUAAGGGAAAGUAAGUUUUGAUGAGGAAAACUGAUCAGAGGAUGUCCCCGGACUCCAGCCAAGGAGCUUCAGAACGCGCGCGCAAACGCGCCCAGCACCCUAGAGCAGCCACAGGCGGUGACUGCUCAAAAGAAAUGACAAAAAGACUGGGCACGGUCUCCGAACCUCCUCCACUGGGCCCAUCACCUCAGUCGGUCUGGGCAUCUCCUUCUACUAGAUUGUACAUCUAGGGCCCAAGUCUGGGAGUGGAAGUGAUGAGGGACGCCAACUAGGCGGAAGAAGUGAGUUUGACUCGGGCUCCCGGUGACGAAAAGGAAGAUGGGAAACUCCAAGAAGAAACUCGGCUCUCGGUGGGGGAGAAAAAAAAAAGCAACUGUUUUCCUCACUCUAUUUUCUUCCAAAAGCAAGAAGAGAAAUGAAAAAACUUGCAGAGAAAAAAACUUUGUUGCAACCACAAACCUGGGACAUCCUGCCCAGGGAGAAUGCGAAGAAGAAAGAGAAGAGAUGUGAUGCGAAAGAAUGGGCCGACCAAGGCCAGCAGGGGGUCCGCUUUGGGGGCAUCAGACGAAGGAGCCCUUGCUCCCCAUGCCCUGUGAUUAGGAGCAGGGGAACUACAGCCAUCCCACGCAGCCUGGGAAAACUGAAAAUGGGAAAGACGAAGAAGAAUAGAAAUAAGGAUCUAAACUUGGAAGGCAGAAAGAGGAAAAGUUGUUUGGGGGAAAAGCAAAGUUAUAUUGUAGGAAGAAACGUUUAACUUUUCUUAAAAGUGAACUUUCGAUGACCCUCGGAGUGUGUGACUCGGCUUUAACAGACAACUGACAAUUAAAACAAACACGAGUUCACAAACUGGCCCCCGCCCGCUCUCCCAACGCGGAGGCCCAAGGGUUUCUAAAGAACCAGGCCGAUUGCGCUCAGGGGGUCGGGGCGCGCUCUCUCAACCCACGGGAUUAGAGCCACCAAGACCACUACUCCCCGCCCCCACCACCACUGCAAAGUGCCUGAGCUCACCCAGUGGCGGCUAAUAAUGCUAAUAACGCGACCCUACUCCCCGCGCCGGGGUGCGCGCUGGCCCCCCGCCAGGCACUCUUAAAGGCACAGGGGCCUGUAACCUCCCUGUUAGUCGGCAGAGACUAGCCUGCAACCUGGCCUAGGUCGGGAGGGUGGGGGGUAGAGAAUGCGCUUCUCUGAGUAGCUGGCCUCUAGUCCCAUUGCCAGAUCUCCCAACCAAAGAGUUCCCUUCCCCUUUCGAGCCCCUGCCACACACCCCCCUAGUGCCCGCGCAGUGGACGCUUAAUAAAUAUCUGUUGAAUUGAA